UCCACCUCGAGGACAAGUCAGCAGCAUUACGGUAGACUAUAUUUUGUUCCCAACUAUUUGCCAGGUCAGCAUUGACUCUUGCUUGGCUUUGUGACUUGCUUUGGCCAAUGGAAUAUGAGCGAAUGUGAUGCCACAUGUGAGCAGGUGCUUUGAAUGCAAGCAUCUGAUUUGGCUUGGCCAAUUCCUGCCCUCUGUCAUGAGGAAGGAAUGUCUCGGAUAGGUGCUAUGCCUGUGGCCAGGACCCUAAAAGGAAAGGGCACGUGGAGUAGGGCCACAGCUGACCCACAGCCCACUUGUGACACGAAAGAGGGAGAAACAUUUCCUGGGCUAGGUUACUGGGAUUCUAACAUAGAAGUAUAUAUAAAGCAAUACUCUAUUCCUAGGACUCUAUAGAGUGAUUUGGAAGAUAAAGAAUGAUGAGACAUGGUUUCCAUUCUCAGAGAAUUUAUAAACACAGCAAGCACCAGAAAGAAUUAUAGAGAGUGCAGAAUUCUGGAAUACCUUGCCCACACAGAUUGUGAGGACACUAGAAUUCAGAGGAAAGGAGUAUACUAGCUGGGAUGACCUACAAGAAUGGGAGAAUGGAUCUGCUAAACCCUUGACAUGUUACUGUGGUAACAGGAGCAACUUGGAAUACCUCCUGCUGUUGCUGUAUUUAUCUAGGACAUAGCCUCACACUUACAUCAAGCAGAGACAAUUGAAGCCACCAAGUUCAAUCCAAGCAUCAUCUCACUGGCAGAAUGAAACAGGAUAACCUCCAGCUUGGCCAGAAAGAGGAUAUGACCCGUCAACUAGUACUGAAACAACCACUGCCUUCCAAAUGCCUCCCAUUUAUCUCAGUGUGGGUUAAAAGGCCUAAGCAAUAUGGUUAUCACUUGC